rnacentral:rRNA from 1 species
AAUGAACGCUGGCGGCAUGCCUAACACAUGCAAGUCGAACGAGACCUUCGGGUCUAGUGGCGCACGGGUGCGUAACGCGUGGGAAUCUGCCCUUGGGUUCGGAAUAACAGUGAGAAAUUACUGCUAAUACCGAAUGAUGACGUAAGUCCAAAGAUUUAUCGCCCAGGGAUGAGCCCGCGUAGGAUUAGCUAGUUGGUGAGGUAAAAGCUCACCAAGGCGACGAUCCUUAGCUGGUCUGAGAGGAUGAUCAGCCACACUGGGACUGAGACACGGCCCAGACUCCUACGGGAGGCAGCAGUGGGGAAUAUUGGACAAUGGGCGAAAGCCUGAUCCAGCAAUGCCGCGUGAGUGAUGAAGGCCUUAGGGUUGUAAAGCUCUUUUACCCGGGAUGAUAAUGACAGUACC